UACGUAGGGGCCGAGCGUUGUCCGGAGUUAUUGGGCGUAAAGCGCGCGCAGGCGGCUUCGCGCGCCCGCCGUGAAAGCCCCCGGCUUAACCGGGGAGAGUCGGUGGGGACGGCGGAGCUUGAGGGCGGGAGAGGUCGGUGGAAUUCCCGGUGUAGUGGUGAAAUGCGUAGAGAUCGGGAGGAACACCUGUGGCGAAGGCGGCCGACUGGGCCGACCCUGACGCUGA
rnacentral:rRNA from 1 species